rnacentral:rRNA from 1 species
CCCUACGGGAGGCAGCAGUGAGGAAUAUUGGUCAAUGGUCGGGAGACUGAACCAGCCAAGCCGCGUGAGGGAUGAAGGUACAGAGUAUCGUAAACCUCUUUUGUCAGGGAACAAAGGCGGGGACGUGUCCCCGGAUGAGUGUACCUGAAGAAAAAGCAUCGGCUAACUCCGUGCCAGCAGCCGCGGUAAUACGGAGGAUGCGAGCGUUAUCCGGAUUUAUUGGGUUUAAAGGGUGCGCAGGCGGCCUGUUAAGUCAGCGGUCAAAGCCCGGGGCUCAACCCCGGCCCGCCGUCGUAACUGGCACC